AAACCGUAAUAGCUCUUCGAACCGGAGUGAACGCGAAAUGUCGGCUUCAUUGGACAUGACGGAAGAUUUCGCCUCACUUCACCGUCUCCUUGUUCCCUCUCUUUAAUUUUUUUUCUUCUUUUUCCGCGUAUUUCGCUCUAAAUCAUGAUAAACUCGAUAAAUGAGCGAAUUAUCGCAGUAGAAAGGAAGUAAAAAUCUGUUGACUUCUGUUCAUAAUUUGAUUACAUCCAUCAUAAAUCCGUUUCCAUUUCAGAUUCUAAAUUUUUAAACAAUGGCUUCUAAUCCUUCGCUUCAACCUGAGAUCGGACCUGAUGGUCUUCCGAGAGAAGCUCCUGUCAUCGCCUACACUGAGAAGAUAAUCGAGGAAGAACAGCUUCAAUUGAGGAAAUACAUCGAAGAAAACUAUUCUAAAAUACGUGACGUUGAAAGAGAGCUAGCAAAUCUUACAAUGGAAAUGAAACUCACUGCUGGGCCUAAAAGGGCAGCACUUGAACUGUUGAGGAAGAAAAUAGAAAUGUCAACUGAGAGAAUUCGUAUUGCCAAGCAGAAGGAAGAACAAGCACGAAAGGUCUGGGAAGCAGCAUCAAAGGCUGUGCAGGAAGAAGAAGCAAUGAAGCAGAAGUUAUGUGAAGAUUUAAACCAUUUGGUUCAAGAAAGCAGUAACACUCAGUUUUCUCGACUUGAGGAAUUGAAAAGACGACUGGAAGCUUUGAACCCCAGUAGAGCAUCAAUCACUUCCAUUCAAGAUGGGAAACCCAUGGGGCAAGAACAUAUUAGAACUGCUCCAAACACUUCUACAAUCUCCCCAGCCGUGGAACCAGGUGGUGGGAUCGCUCAAAAUGCAUCAUCUAAUCAAGGAAAUGUUGGAAAUGCUCCAAUUAUGAAUGGAAACAACCAGCAUGAAGGAGAAGGAAGAGUAAAGAAGAAAACUUAUUUUCAAGGAAGAGGAAAGGGAAUUGGGGCUGCGCCCAAGGGUAGAGGAUCUUCAGCACCUGGCUGGACAGGUGCUGGGUUUGAUGUGGAUGGUAGAGCUUAGAACCAUAGUGUCAAUUUUUUAAAUCUGUUUUGAAGCCAUUAUGCUCAUUUACUGGAUUGUUCCCAGUAGUAUAUUUCAAGGAAGAAAUUGUUCAGAAAUUCAUCAUUUCAUUUUUAAUGAUGAGACUAAUGGGCGCUUUGCAGCAAUUCAGAGAUACCAGGUGGGUGGGAACACUGACCAGGAAUUUUUAUCUGUACCAGGGUCCAUUAGGAAGUGGGAUUUAAGUUAAUCAGUUUUGGAGGGCAGUAGCUAUAAUUUUUUUUUUUUAAACCCUAAAAUCAUUUUAUUUUAAUAAAACUUUUUUGUUUCUUGAAUUCUAA